CUUUCUUUCAAUAAUCUGGAGCCAGUUAUGUACCCUUAACCCUAGUUGUGGAUCAAAAGCAUAUGAGGAGCUUUCUUUACAAAAGGUGUCUAUGUCCUCUCUUAUCAUGUAAAUUCUUAAAAGCCUUUUACAGUGACAGAUGUUUGAGAACAUUGAGUAAAUGCUUCUCCAACUUUAAUUUUUCUAAGGAUCACCUGUGUCCUUCCCCUCAGAGGCUGGCUGACUGAGCCUAGCUAAAGUAGGGCAGAGAAACUUGCCUUCUGCAUUGUUGCAAGUGACAUGAAAAGGCAGGGAGUUUAAAUUUUCAGAUGACCCCCUCAGCCAUACAGCAUGCCCAGUUUAGUCUGUGCUCUAGCCGAAGCUGCUCUUAAAUGUUUUUCAGUCCUUAACUCAUGGACUUUCUCUUCUGAGUGGCUGGCUAAGAGUGCAGGUUCCAGAACCAGAUUGCCUGGGUCUGGAUUACUGUGUUGGUCUUGAGUGAACUCUUCAACUCCUCUGUGCCUAAGUUCCUCCACUAUAAAAUAGGAUUACAGUAAAAACUACCUUACAUAAUUCCUUUAAAAGAUGAAGUGGGUUUCUAUAUUAAACAAAAACUCUCAGAAAGUGUCACAGUGUGAGUGUUGAGUUUAUUGUCAGCCAUUUUAUAGUUUGUCAUUAUUGGCUUCAGCUAGUAAUUUUCAGAGUCUCUGCCUUCCUGAGACAGGCUUCUUUGCAUUCAUCUCGUUCUUUUGUUUUCUUCCUACUCAAAUGUUGUCAGGGUUUCUGUUCUUGGCCCACUUCUAACUCUUCAUGCUUCCCAGACAGUCAUAUCAGCUAGUUUGUCUUCUUAUACUGCAAACUAUGCUUCUUAUAGUUUGUCUUCUAUACAUGCCUCUGAUUCACAAGUUUGUGUUGCUAACUGAACCUCCUUUCUACAUUUUAGAGCCAUGUGUGUGCCCACGUGUCUGUUCAACACAGAGACUUGGAUGUUUCAUGGGCACUUUAAAUUCCGCACAUCCGAAACUGAAUUCACCGCUUCUUCCCACACCUGAUUCUCUUAUUUUCUCUUAGAGAGUUGAGACACUGAUUCAGAAAUAAGGAGUUAUUCUCAAUUCUACUUUUAUUUCUCCUUGAUUACCAGGUGUCGACAGGUCAGAUUUUCCCUUGCACAUGCACCCCUCACUACUGUCAAUGAGAUUUCUCAUCUAAUUUGGACAAUUGCAUUUGCCCUGAUGUAUCUACAUGACUUUCAUACAAAUUUUAAAACAUAAUAGGUGCAGACAUAGUUCCCAGAAACUGUGUCUCUUACUACUCUGCAGUAUUGAUUAUAAGGAAGAUGUCCAAUGUUUACUCAUGGACAUACAAUGUUGGCUGCUACUUACAUCUUUGUCUGUAUUACUUUAAUCCUUUCUGUCUUUCUGCUAAAUUUGGAGAUGUAAUAACUUCUGAGUUGUGGAGUAUACAGACCUCAAAUUUUGAGCUAAAUUGUUAAACUGUCCUUCACCAAGCCAUUCCUCUACACUGCUGCCGCUAGUGCAUGAGAGUUUAUUUCUUUACAGGAUCAACAGCAUAGAAUUUUGUCAGUUUUUAAUACUUUUCAGAG
ensembl:lncRNA